rnacentral:rRNA from 1 species
GGUGAACGCUGGCGGCGUGCCUAACACAUGCAAGUCGAGCGAACAGACGAUGAGCUUGCGCCUUCGACGUUAGCGGGUGACGGGUGGGUAAGACGUAGGUCACCUUCCUAUAAGACUGGGGGAACUUCGGGGAACCGGAUCCACUAACGGAGAAUAUUUCGUACCGCAGGGUUCGGUAGUUCAUGGUGGCUUUGCUAACACUUAGAGAUGGACCUGGGCCGGAUUAGCGAGUUGGUAAGGUAACGGCAUACCAAGGCAACGAUCCGUAGCCGAACUGAGAGGGUGAUCAGCCACACUGGAACUGAGACACGGUCCAGACUCCUACGGGAGGCAGCAGUAGGGAAUCUUCCGCAAUGGGCGAAAGCCUGACGGAGCAACACCGCGUGAGUGAUGAAGGUCUUCGGAUCGUAAAGCUCUGUUAUUAGGAAAGAACAACAGUGUAAGAAACCGUGCCCGUCCUGACGGUACCCAAACAAAAAGCCACGGCUAACUUCGUG